rnacentral:rRNA from 1 species
UACGUAGGGGGCAAGCGUUGUCCGGAUUUAUUGGGCGUAAAGAGCGUGUAGGCGGUCAGGUAGGUCCGUUGUGAAAACUCGAGGCUCAACCUCGAGACGCCGAUGGAAACCAUCUGACUAGAGUCCGGAAGAGGAGAGUGGAAUUCCUGGUGUAGCGGUGAAAUGCGCAGAUAUCAGGAAGAACACCCGUGGCUGAGGCGGCUCUCUAGUACGGUACUGACGCUGAGACGCGAAAGCGUGGGGAGCGAACAGG